AGUUAAAAGGCUGCGGUAUCUUGACCGUACAAAGGUAGCAUAAUAAUUAGAUUUUUAAAUGGAAUCUGGAAUGAAAGGAUUGACAAAAAGAAUACUGUCUUUAUUAUAAUUAUAGAAUUUAAUUUUUAAGUGAAAAGGCUUAAAUAAGUUAGGGGGACGAUAAGACCCUAUAAAGCAUUUUGCUGGGGCGGCCUGUUAAAAUUAUUAACUAAUUAUAAGUUUAAUCAUUGAUAAAUGAAGUGAUCCUAGGAAAGAUUAAAAAAUUAAGUUACUUUAGGGAUAACAGCGUUAUUUUUUUUGAGAGUUCUUAUUAAAAAAAAAGAUUGCGACCUCGAUGUUGAAUUAGAGAUUACUUUAUGGAGCAGAAUUUAUAAAAGUAGGUCUGUUCGACCUUUAAAUAUCU
rnacentral:rRNA from 1 species